UACGAAGGGGGCUAGCGUUGCUCGGAAUCACUGGCGUAAAGCGCACGUAGGCGGAUUGCUAAGUCAGGGGUGAAAUCUUGGAGCUUAACUCCGAAACUGCAUUCGAUACUGCCGUGCUUGAGGACUGGAGAGGAGACUGGAAUUUACGGUGUAGCGGUGAAAUGCGUAGAUAUCGUAAGGAAGACCAGUGGCGAAGGCGGGUCUCUGGACAGUUCCUGACGCUGAGGCACGAAGGCCAGGGGAGCAAACGGG
rnacentral:rRNA from 1 species